GAUAACUCUCUCCAGUCCAUCUGUUACAAGCGGGGCUCCUUGCGGCUGCUCGAUCAGAGGAAACUCCCUUUGGAAACUGUCUACUUGGAUAUCAAGGACGCAACAGAUGGAUGGCACGCAAUAAGGGAUAUGGUAGUACGCGGGGCACCUGCCAUUGCUAUUGCAGCAGCCCUUGCUUUGGCAGCAGAAGUGUACAACUCAGACCCUUGUAAUGGGACGCCCAACGAUGCAGCUUUGUUCAUUGCAGAGAAAUUGGACUACUUAGUCUCCAGCCGGCCAACUGCAGUUAAUCUUGGCGAUGCUGCUAUAAAACUUAAAGAAAUUGUAUCUGGUGCCGCUGCAAUUUCUUCUGAAGCCAAGAGUGUCUUCCAAGCAUAUAUAGAGGCCGCCGAAGCAAUGCUGGAGGAUGAUGUUGCUUCAAACAAAGCCAUUGGGUCCUAUGGAGCAACUUAUAUCCGUGAUCAACAAAAAUCGUUGGAGAAGUUUUCCGUUCUAACACACUGCAAUACGGGCAGUCUAGCAACAGCUGGAUAUGGUACUGCCCUUGGUGUUAUUCGUGCACUUCACUCUGCUGGUGUGUUAGAAAGGGCAUACUGUACAGAAACGCGGCCCUUUAAUCAAGGAUCUCGACUCACAGCCUAUGAGUUGGUCCAUGAAAAGAUACCUUCUACUCUGAUAGCUGAUUCUGCUGCCGCGGCCUUAAUGAAAUUUGGAAGAGUGAAUGCUGUUGUAGUUGGGGCAGAUCGUGUAGCUGCAAAUGGUGAUACUGCAAAUAAGAUUGGAACCUAUAGUCUUGCAUUGUGUGCAAUGCAUCACA
rnacentral:misc_RNA from 1 species